rnacentral:sRNA from 1 species
ACACGCCUUGCCUCUCGCCCGGUGGUUUG